CUGAUUGUUUUCACCUGUCUGAUCCCCCUUGUUCAUAUAUACCUAUGCACUCCUUGUGUGUGUGUUGUUGGUUUGUCUGUGUUGCCUUGAGUGCCUGCUUCAGAUUAGAUUUUUUCUCUCCUUGUGAUCCCAGUGAUCUUUGUGUUUGCCUUUUUGGAUGAUUUCUUUAUUUGAACAAUUCCUACAUGGACUCCCAGCCGCCUUUAGUUUACGACCCCUGAUUCUAUGAGCCCUAGACCAUCAGAAUGACAGCAGGAACAGCUGAUCCCUGCAGAACCAGCUUUGGGCUGACCCAGAUGAGGACACUCCACUGUAAUCAGGCCCCGGAGAUGCUCCACAACAGGUGAAAUCACACCUGGGUGAAGAGGCUGAGACCGGCUGAACUUUGAUGGAUUUCAUAUUGUUAUCUCCCAGGAUGAAAGCUUGGCUGCAGGGACUACCUGUCAGGAAUACAAGGAUAGCACCUUGGAAGUCGAUGGAUUUUUGAAAUUUGAAUCAUGUCAGUACAUGUCCUCAUCCUGCACAUCCAAGUGGCCUUGCAGCAAAACCUCAACGUUACGGGCAGUGCAUUUAAAAGCCAAGAGGCUGGUGGCACACAGCUGAGGCUGGAACCUAGUCAGCUAGCUGCGAGCCCCACAUGCCAAAAAGCACCAGAAAAACCCAUUUACUAAGCUGCGAGGUUCAGUGGGAAGGAACAAUGGCAGCUCCUGCAGAAUCUGAUUAAGAAGGAUGUUCAUGGCUUCUUCCAUGCUUGCUGGGAGCACUCCUUCCUAAUGCACCUGUGCCUACAAAGUGAAACCAAAAAGCCGUUUGGCUGAAGCAAGAGAAAAUGUAGCCUUGCUUGGAGAUGAGCCUGGACACACACACACACACAAACAAUAAUCACAUUCCCCCCAUUCACCCCGUUUGUGCUGGUCCACCAUUUAAGGGCCAAACAAGAUCCUUAGUUCCUGUUACUAAGCCAUGCCAAAACUUAUCUUUAUUCCACAUUAAAAGGUAGCAAGUCGGAGAAAAAACAGCAUAAACAAUAGAACAUAAUGUGAUCCACGUGGCAGAACAGUACAACCCCGUAACAACUUAAAAAUCACAUCUUGCAUAAAGCUAAUUUGUACUGAUGAAGGCCUUUUCAGUAUCAUAGCCUGCCAUGUAAAUCAGGUUUGCAUAAUUGAUUAACUUAACCUUACAUUUCACCUUGACUUACUGAGUUUAAAGAAUGAUCUCAUUAUUAUGCAGUACCUUCGGGCUUGUUUUGCUGAUAGAUGUACAACAAAAUGAAAAUAAAAGGAU